rnacentral:lncRNA from 1 species
CAAGACAAAAAUAUCCAUUUUAUGUUUAUUUUGUAGCCGUAUCCUUCUUUAUUAUAUAGGUACACCAAUUUGAUUUUCAAUUCAUACGGAAUCAUAGAAAAAUUGGUCUGAACUGACCUCCAAACCAUCAAUGAUUCUGUAAUGAGGAGUACCCAAAUUGCAUCUAUGCUUAAAUUCGCAUCGUCAAAAGUCGAAUAACAAAGCUUUUGUUUAUUUUUUUCAAAUAUUUUGAACAAUUGGAUAUUUGUCGUUGCUUACU